rnacentral:rRNA from 1 species
UACGUAGGCAGCGAGCGUUGUUCGGAAUUACUGGGCGUAAAGAGUGUGUAGGUGGUGCUCUAAGUUCGGUGUGAAAUCUCCCGGCUUAACUGGGAGGGUGCGCCGAAAACUGGAAGGCUUGAGUAUGGGAGAGGUAAGCGGAAUUCCUGGUGUAGCGGUGAAAUGCGUAGAUAUCAGGAGGAACACCUGCGGUGUAGACGGCUUACUGGACCAUAACUGACGCUGAGGCACGAAAGCGUGGGUAGCAAACAGG